GGGGCAUUAGCGCAGUUGGGAGCGCGCUACAUUCGCAUUGUAGAGGCCAGGGGUUCGAAUCCCCUAUGCUCCA
rnacentral:tRNA from 1 species